UAGGAUACGGAGUUAAAAGGGCUGGCAGGCGGCACAAGGCCCGAGAGACAGCGCACCUGAACUGAAACAAUGAAACAAAUAUGGCCCCAGGGAAGCAUCCUGUGGAAGAAGAAAGAAAAACACAAGAGGAUAUUCACCCCAAAGUGCAGGAGAGCCCUCGCCAUGACGACGGACUGGAAAGAUAAAUCAGACACGAAGACCCACCGAUCCCCACAACCUGACACUCUUCUUCACCAUCAGGCCCCCAAACAACACAAACCCCAAGGACAAAGCACAAGCCACCAAGAGCCGACUUGUCUCAGAUCGCCAACAGAAACCACCCAACAGCUGUUACUAAAUAGAGGGUGAACAAAACCAGACACAGAGAUAAUUAAUGUUCAGAUACCAUUCAUCGUAGAGUCGCAAAGGAACCAAGGAAUGAGGUGUGCGGGCCCAAAUUCCCGUGGCUCAGGAUGCAAAGGAAACCAGAGAGGAAAACUGCUCUAGUCUGACAGGAUUUGCUACCCAAACAUCAGUCAAAUAAAUGUGAAGAACUUCUUGUGGAUUCCUGACAACACAUUUCCAGCACAACUAAUGAGGUGAAAGAAAAAUCCUUCUCCGGUUUUGAAGGGCUUAAGACUAACGGGUGAACAGGAAACCUACAGUUAAUGAAGAUCUGAUCUUCCCUCAGUGCCCAGCACUUGGUGAGCCCCAUGAAAGCGGUGAUGUUUACUUGCACUGACCUCACGCUGGACAGAACGGAGAUGACUUUGCUUGGUCCUCAGGGUGAGUAGGUCCACCUAAGGGCCAGUCAAGAACCUGAAGCUUCAGGGACUUAAAAACAUUUUUUUUUUUUUUUACCUUUUUGUUUUUAAAUCAACAAACUAAUUUUACUUACUUUCACAUACACGAUCCUUCUAAAUAGUUAGAGCCUUUUUCUCAUUCUGAAGUUUGGUUGUAUUUAAGAGAACAGAGCCUGCCUUGAACAGAAAGCCACAUAACUGUUAAUUUGUUGCUACAAUCAUCCCGAACCAACAGCUCCAGAGGGGUUCUGGGAUGGAACAUGUUUGAGUACCCAGUCCACUGUGCUUUGUAAUUUUGAAUUCACUUUUUAUUUUCAAAUGCGAUUUGGCAAUAACGUU